rnacentral:rRNA from 1 species
AUUGAACGCUGGCGGCAGGCUUAACACAUGCAAGUCGAGCGGGGGAAGGUAGCUUGCUACCGGACCUAGCGGCGGACGGGUGAGUAAUGCUUAGGAAUCUGCCUAUUAGUGGGGGACAACAUCUCGAAAGGGAUGCUAAUACCGCAUACGUCCUACGGGAGAAAGCAGGGGAUCUUCGGACCUUGCGCUAAUAGAUGAGCCUAAGUCGGUUUAGCUAGUUGGUGGGGUAAAGGCCUACCAAGGCGACGAUCUGUAGCGGGUCUGAGAGGAUGAUCCGCCACACUGGGACUGAGACACGGCCCAGACUCCUACGGGAGGCAGCAGUGGGGAAUAUUGGACAAUGGGGGGAACCCUGAUCCAGCCAUGCCGCGUGUGUGAAGAAGGCCUUAUGGUUGUAAAGCACUUUAAGCGAGGAGGAGGCUUCUUUAGUUAAUACCUAGAGAUAGUGGACGUUACUCGCAGAAUAAGCACCGGCUAACUCUGUGCCAGCCGCCGCCGUAA